rnacentral:rRNA from 1 species
GUGGGGAAUAUUGGACAAUGGGCGCAAGCCUGAUCCAGCCAUGCCGCGUGAGUGAUGAAGGCCCUAGGGUUGUAAAGCUCUUUCAGUGGGGACGAUAAUGACGGUACCCACAGAAGAAGCCCCGGCUAACUUCGUGCCAGCAGCCGCGGUAAUACGAAGGGGGCUAGCGUUGUUCGGAUUUACUGGGCGUAAAGCGCACGUAGGCGGAUCGUUAAGUCGGGGGUGAAAUCCUGGAGCUCAACUCCAGAACUGCCUUCGAUACUGGCGAUCUUGAGUCCGGAAGAGGUGAGUGGAACUCCUAGUGUAGAGGUGGAAUUCGUAGAUAUUAGGAAGAACACCAGUGGCGAAGGCGGCUCACUGGUCCGGUACUGACGCUGAGGUGCGAAAGCGUGGGGAGCAAACAGGAUUAGAUACCCGGGUAGUCC